rnacentral:rRNA from 1 species
GACGAACGCUGGCGGCGUGCCUAAUACAUGCAAGUAGAACGCUGAAGGAGGAGCUUGCUCUUCUGGAUGAGUUGCGAACGGGUGAGUAACGCGUAGGUAACCUGCCUGGUAGUGGGGGAUAACUAUUGGAAACGAUAGCUAAUACCGCAUAAUAACAGUUGUUGCAUGACAACUGUUUGAAAGGUGCAAUUGCAUCACUACCAGAUGGACCUGCGUUGUAUUAGCUAGUUGGUGGGGUAACGGCUCACCAAGGCGACGAUACAUAGCCGACCUGAGAGGGUGAUCGGCCACACUGGGACUGAGACACGGCCCAGACUCCUACGGGAGGCAGCAGUAGGGAAUCUUCGGCAAUGGACGAAAGUCUGACCGAGCAACGCCGCGUGAGUGAAGAAGGUUUUCGGAUCGUAAAGCUCUGUUGUAAGAGAAGAACGAGUGUGAGAGUGGAAAGUUCACACUG